NAGAAAAGUAGGAAUUGAACCUACAACAAAGAACUCAAAA
rnacentral:tRNA from 1 species